CCCGUGAACCUUUACUAUAGCUUGACACUGAACAUUGAGCCUUGAUGUGUAGGAUAGGUGGGAGGCUUUGAAGCGUGGACGCCAGUCUGCGUGGAGCCAACCUUGAAAUACCACCCUUUAAUGUUUGAUGUUCUAACGUUGGCCCCUGACCGGGGUUGCGGACAGUGUCUGGUGGGUAGUUUGACUGGGGCGGUCUCCUCCCAAAGCGUAACGGAGGAGCACGAAGGUUAGCUAAUCCUGGUCGGACAUCAGGAGGUUAGUGCAAUGGCAUAAGCUAGCUUGACUGCGAGCGUGACGGCGCGAGCAGGUGCGAAAGCAGGUCAUAGUGAUCCGGUGGUUCUGAAUGGAAGGGCCAUCGCUCAACGGAUAAAAGGUACUCCGGGGAUAACAGGCUGAUACCGCCCAAGAGUUCAUAUCGACGGCGGUGUUUGGCACCUCGAUGUCGGCUCAUCACAUCCUGGGGCUGAAGUAGGUCCCAAGGGUAUGGCUGUUCGCCAUUUAAAGUGGUACGCGAGCUGGGUUUAGAACGUCGUGAGACAGUUCGGUCCCUAUCUGCCGUGGGCGCUGGAGAAUUGAGGGGGGCUGCUCCUAGUACGAGAGGACCGGAGUGGACGCAUCACUGGUGUUCGGGUUGUCAUGCCAAUGGCACUGCCCGGUAGCUAAAUGCGGAAGAGAUAAGUGCUGAAAGCAUCUAAGCACGAAACUUGCCCCG
rnacentral:rRNA from 1 species